GACGAACGCUGGCGGCGUGCUUAACACAUGCCAGUCGAACGGUGAAGCUCCAGCUUGCUGGAGUGGAUCAGUGGCGAACGGGUGAGUAACACGUGAGCAACCUGCCCCUGACUCUGGAAUAAGCGCUGGAAACGGCGUCUAAUACUGGAUACGAGAAGGGCCCGCAUGGGCACUUUCUGGAAAGUUUUUCGGUUGGGGAUGGGCUCGCGGCCUAUCAGCUUGCUGGUGAGGUAAUGGCUCACCAAGGCGACGACGGGUAGCCGGCCUGAGAGGGCGACCGGCCACACUGGGACUGAGACACGGCCCAGACUCCUACGGGAGGCAGCAGUGGGGAAUAUUGCACAAUGGGCGAAAGCCUGAUGCAGCGACGCCGCGUGAGGGAUGACGGCCUUCGGGUUGUAAACCUCUUUCAGCAGGGAAGAAGCGAAAGUGACGGUACCUGCAGAAGAAGCACCGGCUAACUACGUG
rnacentral:rRNA from 1 species